rnacentral:tRNA from 1 species
GGGAUCGUGGCACAGUCGGUUAGCGCGCAGAUUUCAUGAGUCUGAGGUCGUGAGUUCGAGCCUCACCGAUCCCA